CCAUAACCACUACCCGAGAAGGGAGUGGACACAAGAGAAACACCAGGAACAUCAGAGGAGUAAACAAAUAAGGGACUCGUAGGAUCAACAGGAGUUGUAUUAGUACUCAUGUUAGCAGUCGUGAAGAACAGUGAGUUCAAAGUCAAAAUAUAAUCUCUGCAAGUAUUUUGGAAAACUAAAGUUCUAUCAAAAACUUCAUGCAAAUCAUAUAACACCUAAAAUAGGAACAGAUUUACCCUCCUUCUUCGCGACCGGAGAAGAUCGGCCUUCGAUUAACAGAAAAAUCCCAGUUCCAAAAAGCAGAAACCCAGCAGAAACCCUAAAAUUUGAAGCCUCGCCGGAAUCGACUCGAGAACGUCGGAAAAGCAACCCAAAACGUCCGAGUAAUGAAGAUGCAACCAGUUAUCGUGAUAAAAGUCUCAGAUCAACACCCGAUUUAGAUUGGAAUCAUCACUGACCAAAUAUUUCAAAAACACCCAAAAAUCUCCAACGAGAUUUCGACUGAGAUAACAAGAUACAGGAAAGUAUCGUCAGAUCAUCGUCCUACUCUGAUACCAUGAAAACAUCAAGAAAUCCAGACGAAAAUUGAAGAACAAGAUGAAGAUGAGUCGGUUAGGUGGAAGCUUCUAGAGAGAGUUUCAGAGAAAGAGAAAGAGCUUCUCAAAAU
rnacentral:lncRNA from 1 species